GUGAGAACAUGUGAGGGAAAACAACAUGGUGACACCAAGGUUAUGUCUGGCAGUGAUUGGUGAGUUCAGGAACAUACGCGUGCUGGAUGUACACAUAUUAUGCAACUGAUCUGCAGCAGGAAAGCCCUAAUUUCGUCUACGCUGAAAAUAUGCCCAGACCACAAGUAUUUGAAAGCAAGGGAACACCUGCAAGUCAAGCAAGAAUGAAAUGGAGACUGCCAAAGCCUGUAAUUUUCUUUACUUGGUUCUUUGCUGUGAAAUGCAUCAGGGGUGUUAUCAGAUCAUUCACUGAUAUGAAAAAGAGGUACUCACAAAUUUCCCUGUCACAAACAUAGUUUCUGAUCUGAAAUCUACUGUGGCCAAGAGAAAGAUUAUCACUUACUUCAGUGGCAAACUAUUUGAGGUCUAACAUGUUGUUAAACUUAGUACAGUAACAUCAGUAUAAUCUCUCAAAAAAAUUAAAACUCUUAAUUUUAUAUAAAUAAAUAUAAAUUGAUGUAAAUUUUGAUGCAUUUGCACCUACCUAUGUAUUUCAUGGCAAGUUUUAAGCACCACUUUUUUCUAAUUCAGUUCCUUUAGACCUAUUAUCAAAAUUACUACUGUCAGGAAAUUAAUUGUUUUUAAUAUAAAACACCAACUGCCUUUCACUUUCAAUUUCUGCUUUUUUCUUUUUUUAUUUGCAUUCAUUUAGAAAUUAUUACAUUCAGUGUGACAAUACAAAUUUCAUAUAUUUUCCAGUUGAAAAUUUAAGUGAAAACUGUGUGUUUUAAUGACUUCUGUUGAAUUGGAUAAAACAACAGACUUUGAUCAAUCUGCCUCUGUUUUACCAUUCCUAAAAGUACUCUGUCCAGGUUUAAUGAUGUUGACUUGCUAAGGAUAUAUUUAUAGCAAUAUAAGUGCAAUAUUUCUAUGUCUCUCUAAAGCUGAAUAAAUUAAACACAGGGAAAGUUGUUUUUCUGCUAUUGCUAUGUAUAGUCAAAAUUUAUGCUACAUGUGGCUCAAUUUUCAACCUGCCUAACACUACAUGUGGGACACUAGCACAUGAUUUACUCAUGCUGGGAGAUUCCAUCAGAACAGUCAUGAGUGCCCAUGAACUUUCCAGUAAAUUCCAUAAAUUAGACACUUAAACAUGUUGUGGACCUUCAUCUCUUUCUCACUUUGUACUUGUAAGUUUGGAGGAACCUUAUCUUAAAUUUCUUAUGUAGUGGUAUAUCUCAGCAUUUUUUUUUUUUGUCUUUAUAAAUAUUGCUGGAAUUUAGGAAAAUUAAUUUUAUAAGUUGGGCUAGAAAGAGAAAAUAAAUUGGAUAUCUGGAAAUUCACUUUAGCCUGAAAAACCUGGUCUUGCUAGACGUCUGCUACAGUUAGUGUAGGGAAAAAUGUCCUGUGCUUUGAGGAACAUUCAGAAUAUUUGAAUUCAUGUUGUAAAACAUCUUAUGAAAUAACAUCUCUGUUCCUGUUAAAAAAGAAGGGAGUUAGCAUCC